AACGAACGCUGGCGGCAGGCUUAAUACAUGCAAGUCGAACGCCCCUUUCGGGGGGAGUGGCAGACGGGUGAGUAACGCGUGGGAACGUGCCCAAAGGUAGGGAACAACUCCGGGAAACUGGAGCUAAUCCCCUAUGUGCCCGAGAGGGGAAAGAUUUACCGCCCUUGGAUCGGCCCGCGUUGGAUUGGCUAGUUGGUGGGGUAAAAGCCUACCAAGGCGACGAUCCAUAGCUGUUCUGAGAGGAAGAUAAGCCACACUGGGACUGAGACCCGGCCCAUACUCCUACGGGAGGCAGCAGUAGGGAAUCUUGGACAAUGGGCGCAAGCCUGAGCCAGCCAUGCCGCGGGAGUGAUGAAGGCCUUAGGGUUGUAAAACUCUUUCGCAGGUGACGAUAAUGACGGUAACCUGAGAAGAAGCCCCGGCUAACUUCGUGCCAGCCGCCGCCGUAA
rnacentral:rRNA from 1 species